ensembl:misc_RNA
UUGAAGGCUGAAGUUCCCUAUUUAUCCACAGGUCAGGUACAGCACAGGCAGAGACAGUUCACGAUUCCCUCGCAACGCCCUGCCAGUGUCUCUCAAAUCCAUGUUUGGAAAGAGCAGCUUAGGGGCUUCUCUACUGGAACCACUGACAAAAGAAUUCAGAGAAUGUCAAGCUGCUGAAUCA